rnacentral:rRNA from 1 species
AGCCUACCAGCGUAGCUCAACCCCCAAAAUCCAACAAUCCCCUAUCAAUACCCCCCCAAGACCCAGGACACAUCUAAACAAACCAUUUUUCCCCCUUAGUACGGGCGACGGAAAAGGACCCAUGAAGCGAUAGCAACAGUACCGCAAGGGAACGCUGAAAGAGAAAUGAAACAAAUCGUAUAAGCACCAAACAGCAGAGCUAAACCCUCGUACCUUUUGCAUCAUGACUUAGCAAGAAACGAUCAAGCAAAGAGAUUUUUUAGUUUGGUACCCCGAAACCAAGUGAGCUACUCCAAGACAGCCUGAAGGGCGCACCCGUCUCUGUGGCAAAAGAGUGGGAAGAGCUUUGAGUAGAGGUGACAGACCUACCGAACUUGGUUAUAGCUGGUUGUCCAACAAAUGAAUAGAAGUUCAGCCUUUUAUCCUCUCCCCCCACAACCUGCACCCCAAGCCCCACAGAAGAUAAAAGAGUUAGUCAAAGGGGGUACAGCCCCUUUGAAAAAGAUACAACUUUCCCAGAAGGGUUAAGAUCACACCACCAGACAAGGGGACAACAGUUCUAGUUGGCCUAAAAGCAGCCACCCAUAUGGAAAGCGUUAAAGCUCAGACACACCCCCACCCCCCAUUAUUCGGACCACCUAAUCUUACCCCCCUAACAAACACUGGACCUCCCCAUACCACUAUGGGGGAGAUUAUGCCAACAUGAGUAAUAAGAGACCCAGAAUCUCUCCUUGCACAAGUGUAAAUCGGAACGGACAUACCACCGAGAAUUAACGACCCCACAAUUGAGGGAACUGGAAUAUCAUGGCCCAACCACUAGAAAACCAUCCACCCCCACCCCGUUAACCUUACACCAGUGUGCCCGCAAGGAAAGACUAAAAGAAAAAGAAGGAACUCGGCA